rnacentral:tRNA from 1 species
GGGCUCGUGGCCUAGUUUGGACAAGGCACUGGCCUUCUAAGCCAGGGAUCGCGGGUUCAAAUCCCGCCGGGCCCG